UGAGGCAAGAAGGACCUGGAAUAAGUUUAAUUGGCAAGCCAGUUUGAAAGGAGCUACCCAAAGACAAUUCCUGUCCAUCACACCUAGAGAUUCAGGAGAGCAGAUGAGUCCAGACUUCCAAACCCAGAGCAGGCAUUCCAAAUUCACAUCGUGAAGCGCCUACAGAAGGAUUCUCCUGCCAGCCUUCGCAGGGUGGGGAGUUCUUCAUUUCAUCUUAUCAAGGGAAAUACCUUCAAAUUCAUGGAAAGAAAAAAAGGAAAGUCUUCCAAAAUUAGUCAAAUCGCAAGGAAACAGUAAUUCAUCCGAGUGGGGCAAAAUGAGGCUUACUCAGCUUUCAGUUCUGUGUAUUUUUUUAAUAAAGAGACAGCACAGGAGCUGCAGUGAAAGAAAUGUCAAGUCCAUCUCCCACCUUCGAAUCAGAACAGUGACCUUUCUUGAGAAUGGUAGCUACAGAGCUGUCCCUACCACCCUGGAUUAUAAACAGAAAGAAAAGAGAGUAAGGUGGGAGAGAAAGAAACGGGGGAAAAAAGCAGAAGAAUGGUGCCCUCUCAGAGUCGAGAUUUCUCAGUAAAUAAUUCCACAGUCAUAAGCAGUAAGGGGCCUAUGAAGUUUGAACUCAAUGAGCUUCCAGAUCCUGUCCCUGUCUGCGAUGCUGGAUUUGAUCUCAGCAGGCAUCCAUUCAAAAGAGGGCUGUGUCGCAGCCGGUGGAGAUUCAGUUGCAUGUGGGCUUGGAAGGUGGUGAGAUGAGUGGCCCUGGGCCCCUGUCUGAGUCCUGAGGGGAAGAUGGGAAGAAAUACCAAAAGUAAAAGUAAAAGCUAAAGGAACUGCUUCUAUUAAAACUGAGUAAAACAAUGAUGUUAAAACAUUGGUCUAAAGUCACAUGUAUUUUAGUGCAAACUCUCCAGUCAAGAGAAAAGUUUUUGUUUGCCAACCACUGAAUCUACAACUGUGUUAUACAAGAUGGAAGACAAUAGUCGCAUGUGACUACCUAAAUAUAAUUUAAAAUUUCAAACCUAAUGUCACACUAGUUACAUUUCAAGUGCUCAUUCGUAAUAUGUAUAGCAGCUACUGCAUUGAAAAGUGAAAAUAUAAAGCAUUUCCAUCUUCACAGAAAAAUUCUAUUAGCUCUAUCAGAAAGAAAAGGCUAUAUGUUCCAAUGAUGGAAGAGAAAAUGACCAAGUUGGACUUCCAAGACAUCAAGAGUAUGUACAAAAUAUAUUCCAGCCAGGGAUUUAGCUCAGUGGUUUUGCUGCCUGCUGUGAAAGCACAAGGACCAGAGUUCGAUCCCUGGUACCAAAAGAAAGAUUCAAAAUCUAUUCCAAACUUCACAUGCUAGCCAAAGAUUAAAGCUUUAUAACAGAAGGAGGAAGAGAAGCCGUUCCAUUACUGCAGAGGAUCUAUUAGGCAUGAACUCUGCUUUGGGAACUUGGGGUUGCUUUGAAGGAGGUUUCAAGGGCAGGGGCUCUCCAGUCACUUGGCAGAGAUGCUAACCCCUUAGGAAGAGAAGGCAGGACCUAGAGAGGUGAUGGCAAUAUUCAGGGGAGGUGAUGGCAAGGCUAAGAGGGAUCCAUCCCAUGAUGAUAAUCUGCCUCCCUCUGGAAACUCUCAGAAAGUGAGACUUGGAGGGACAAGAGCCUGGGAAGUGUGCAUGAUAAUACCCUGUUUUCCCACCAGGGAGAGGAUGAGAUGUAGCAGAAGCUCCAGGCUUGUAUCUCCAGUUUAAAAGGAGAUUCUUUCCUGUUAGCACCAACAAAUAUCCUACUAGGGCUUUCACUGGCUAGAAGAUUCAUCUCUAAGCAAAUCACCAUGAUCCUUUUAGGAUAUGUUGCUCUGAUUGACCAGGCUGAAAUUACAUGCCUGACUCUGGACAGGAGUUCUGUUACCAAAAGAAGGAUGAAUGGUGGUAAACUGGCAAAAUCAACUAUUGUUCAUGACAAAAGCACUUCCUUAUCUGUUUGGUUUCAUAGCAUGGUAUUACAUUCAUCACCCCAUGAUAAAGAUGGUCAGUGCCAAACUUAGAACCCAGAAACACAUCAGUCUUUUCCAUUACCCUUCUUACAGAGCAAGAAGUAAAUUUAUUCCUCUGUGAAAUUUGUUUUACACAGCCAAGAAUAGAGAUUUUUCCUGGGUAGACAUGCAUCUGUUAUCUCCAUAUCUGGCUGGUCUCCAAGGAAAUGUGGCUUUGGUUUAUAUUGUGAUAUCACUUACAAUGUCCUCUACAGUGUCUCACCCAGGAGGUAGAAAGAAUAACUUCCCAGCGAGACCUUACUGAUAUGUGAUUAAAAGUACUUUAUUAAAGUGGAACAUGACUGUGUAUAUGCAGGGAGCAAUAAGUACAGUAAUAGCUCACUCACCUGGACUCUGCAGGGCUGGUUUAUACUUUCAACUCUUUAAAACACAGACUCCAGCCUGGGUGAGGGAAAGGUCAGAUAAGACAGCUAUAUAUUUAACUGCUUACUUGGACUUGCACUGGUUCAAGUUGAGCACAUGUAAACGUAUAGUUCUAGACAUGUUUAAUUUUCUAGCUCCCUUGUCCAUGGUACACAAGAAACAGGAGUCUGAGUAGGGGUCAGGCAGGGCACUGUUGGAGAAAGUCAUUGUCCUACCAGCAGAGAAAGUAUCUGAGUUUGACUUGCUAAGGCAGCAACACUGCUGUUAUUUAUUUAACACUGACAUUGGAUAAGGUGGUAAGCUGAGCACAUUUACAUGCUGUGUCUCCUUUGAUCUUGACAACUUUUUAAAAAUCAAGCAUAUUGUCUUCUCAGUUUACAGAUGAGGAAACUGAAGUUCAAACAUGACAUCCAGGUGUUAAGAAAGGGAUGACUUAUAUUAAGCACAUUUUAAUAGAAAGGUUAGUACAUUACAGUUUAGAAAUGCUUCCUUGAACAGAGAAGCUCCAGGCUUCUGUAUUAGUCAGCCUUCCUAUUACUGGUAUACAACACCAGACACCCCCAAAUUAAAGGAGGAGAGGUUUAAUUUGGCUCAGUGUUUCAGGGGAUUUAGUUCAUGGUCUGCAGGCUCUAAGAGAGGAACAUCAUGGUGGAAGGGUAUGGCAAAGGUGCUUAGUUCAUGGCAGCCAGGAAGCAGAGCAGAGAAGCAGCAUUAGAGAGGAAGAGGUGAGGGAUUAGAUAUAGUAUCCACAUCUCCAUGACUCACUCAGUCAGUCAGACAUGUAUUCUACCAAUCCCCUGGGCAGCUCCUAAGCUGAUCAAGUUGACACAAUUGAGUUUAACCUUCACAUUACUAGAGACUUUUGGGAGCUUAAAGAAAUACAUGGAAAGUUCACUUACAAGAUCUAUCUCAUCCUAUGACCAGACACAAUAAGGUGACUUUGAGGGGUCUUCUAGAUCCAAGAUCCAUAUUCUUUAGAGGCCUCUAAGGUCAUAUAAAUGGUACUGAAGAGGUUGUCUAUUAAAAUAGCUACUGUCUCUAUUGGAUGUUGUGAUAGUUAAUUGUGGUGUCAACUUGAAUAAGAAAUACCUAGCAGGUUGGUUUAGCACAGUUCUGGGUAUGUCAGGAUGAUUGACUUACUGAAAGGGUAAGAGGCAGCCGGGAUGUGGGUGGCACCAACCAAAAGGCUUGUGGCCUGAAUGGAAUAAGAAGAGAGAGAAGAAUAAAGGCUUUUGCUUCUCAGAGGAGCUCCAGUCUCCACCAUUACCUUUGGAUGGUCCUGCACAGACCCUUCAGCCUUCCAGAGCAGACUCUUCCGCUUCCUGAUAUGGACUCGAACAGGACUCUGCGGUGACUUCCAGGCCUUUGACUUCUGACUGGAUCCUUUGGGUCUCCAGCACACAGAUGGCCCCUUUACAUUCUUCCACACUUGACUCUGCAGGUAGCCACUGUAAGCCCUCCUUGUAAAUUCUAUAUGUAUCAUUCAUAUAUAUAUAUGAACAUAUACUCAUAUAUAUGAAUAUAUAUUGUAUUAAAUCUGAUCCUCUAGUGAACCUUAACUGAUACACAUGUCCUCAGAGUCCCUUCAGGCCCCAGGAGGGAAGUCUGUGACAAAGGUUAACUUCAGUCUCUUCUCAGAGUGAUUGCCGAUAAUGCAACCCUGGGCAUGUCUGAUUCCUACAGGUGCAUUUUCCUAGUCAUCCUGGAUGGAGGGACAUAGAUCACUCCCACUCUGAGUACCCAUAGGCCUCAGCACCCUCAUCCCUUGUCUCCAGAGUACAGAGACACACAAAGUACCCUUUAGAUAAAGGCGUCAUCUUUGGAAUUGAGGUCAAUGGAGACCUCAUUUACUCUCCCUUGGUCCUUGAGGCUUGAUUCUACUGGAUGAGGGAAGAACCCACUGGCUUGAGUGUUUUUUUGGCCUUGAUAAGCAAAAACUGGAGAAAAAAUUGAUAUAUGCUUUCUGCAAUAGUGAUGUAAUAAGAGAGACCCUUCUGCCACCCUCUCAGUAGGGCUGAUAUAAUAUUGAGAAGAAUAGAACAUUCAUAAAGGCUGUCGAGAGUCACCUAGAUUGUGUGGUUAUUAUAGGUAGGCUGUGUAAGAGGGGUAUGUAGAGUGAUGGUUCAUUUGUCGAUUUUCACCACCCAGUGUAUUCCCCAGAAGGCCUGAAAUAAAGGUGAAAUAAUUCAUCUUUUCCUGAAUGCCAGUGUCCACAAAGAACUCUGGAAUAUGAUGGUUUUCUGGAACUCAGACGCACAAUGUGAAAUGCUUCUGUUUCUGACCCUUGGCAGUUUGGAUACAUUCAUUGUUCUUCCUGGCCGGGGACUGACUCUCACUUCCAUUCAGCAAACACCAGGCGGGG